UGGGGAAUCUUCCGCAAUGGACGAAAGUCUGACGGAGCAACGCCGCGUGAGUGAUGACGGCCUUCGGGUUGUAAAGCUCUGUUAAUCGGGACGAAUGGUUCUUGUGCGAAUAGUGCGAGGAUUUGACGGUACCGGAAUAGAAAGCCACGGCUAACUACGUGCCAGCAGCCGCGGUAAUACGUAGGUGGCAAGCGUUGUCCGGAAUUAUUGGGCGUAAAGCGCGCGCAGGCGGAUUGGUCAGUCUGUCUUAAAAGUUCGGGGCUUAACCCCGUGAUGGGAUGGAAACUGCCAAUCUAGAGUAUCGGAGAGGAAAGUGGAAUUCCUAGUGUAGCGGUGAAAUGCGUAGAUAUUACGAAGAACACCAGUGGCGAAGGCGACUUUCUGGACGAAAACUGACGCUGAGGCGCGAAAGCCAGGGGAGCGAACGGG
rnacentral:rRNA from 1 species